GGUGUUGAUGAUUUAUCCUCAAUUUCUUAUAAUAUAACAAAAAAUAUUAUUAAACUUUGGGAUUUACCUGUAACUCGAAACUCUUUACAGAAGUUCAAUGUUUACUCUGAGAAGUUGAAUGAACAAAAUUUAUUAAAUGUGUUCAUUCUUAGUCGUCAUUAAAGUACAACUUGGUAAACUACGAAACACAUCAAAUUCAGUUAUAAAAAUUUGAGUAACAAAGGUAUGCUAAUUAUUGUAUUGCCUGAAAGAGUGUUAUUGCAGUGAAGAAUUCAAGUACUCUGGAAGAAAAGAAAAUACGUAAGUAAAUAGUCAAUUAUUUGGCACAAAUCGGA